rnacentral:rRNA from 1 species
UGGGGAAUAUUGGACAAUGGGCGCAAGCCUGAUCCAGCAAUGCCGCGUGUGUGAAGAAGGCCUGCGGGUUGUAAAGCACUUUCAGUGGGGAGGAAGGCCUUGGUGCGAAUAGCGCUGAGGAUUGACGUUACCCACAGAAGAAGCACCGGCUAACUCUGUGCCAGCAGCCGCGGUAAUACAGAGGGUGCAAGCGUUAAUCGGAAUUACUGGGCGUAAAGGGUGCGUAGGUGGUUGAUUAAGUCAGAUGUGAAAUCCCAAGGCUUAACCUUGGAAUGGCAUUUGAAACUGAUUAGCUAGAGUACAGAAGAGGGAAGUGGAAUUUCCGGUGUAGCGGUGAAAUGCGUAGAUAUCGGAAGGAACAUCAGUGGCGAAGGCGACUUCCUGGUCUGUUACUGACACUGAGGCACGAAAGCGUGGGGAGCGAACAGGAUUAGAUACCCUGGUAGUCCACGCCGUAAACGAUGAGAACUAGAUGUUAGGGGGCAUAGACCUUUUAGUAUCGCAGCAAACGCGUUAAGUUCUCCGCCUGGGGAGUACGGCCGCAAGGUUAA